GGCCUAACACAUGCAAGUCGAGCGGGCGUAGCAAUACGUCAGCGGCAGACGGGUGAGUAACGCGUGGGAACAUACCUUUUGGUUCGGAACAACACAGGGAAACUUGUGCUAAUACCGGAUAAGCCCUUACGGGGAAAGAUUUAUCGCCGAAAGAUUGGCCCGCGUCUGAUUAGCUAGUUGGUGAGGUAACGGCUCACCAAGGCGACGAUCAGUAGCUGGUCUGAGAGGAUGAUCAGCCACACUGGGACUGAGACACGGCCCAGACUCCUACGGGAGGCAGCAGUGGGGAAUAUUGGACAAUGGGCGAAAGCCUGAUCCAGCAAUGCCGCGUGAGUGAUGAAGGCCUUAGGGUUGUAAAGCUCUUUUACCCGGGAUGAUAAUGACAGUACCGGGAGAAUAAGCUCCGGCUAACUCCGUGCCAGCAGCCGCGGUAAUACGGAGGGAGCUAGC
rnacentral:rRNA from 1 species